rnacentral:rRNA from 1 species
UACGUAGGGGGCUAGCGUUGUCCGGAAUCACUGGGCGUAAAGCGCACGUAGGCGGCUUUUUAAGUCAGGGGUGAAAUCCUGGAGCUCAACUCCAGAACUGCCUUUGAUACUGAGAAGCUUGAGUCCGGGAGAGGUGAGUGGAACUGCGAGUGUAGAGGUGAAAUUCGUAGAUAUUCGGAAGAACACCAGUGGCGAAGGCGGCUCACUGGUCCGGUACUGACGCUGAGGUGCGAAAGCGUGGGGAGCAAACAGG